rnacentral:rRNA from 1 species
AGUGAACGCUGGCGGUAGACCUAACACAUGCAAGUCGAACGGCAGCACAGUAAGAGCUUGCUCUUACGGGUGGCGAGUGGCGGACGGGUGAGGAAUACAUCGGAAUCUACUUUUUCGUGGGGGAUAACGUAGGGAAACUUACGCUAAUACCGCAUACGACCUACGGGUGAAAGCAGGGGAUCUUCGGACCUUGCGCGAUUGAAUGAGCCGAUGUCGGAUUAGCUAGUUGGCGGGGUAAAGGCCCACCAAGGCGACGAUCCGUAGCUGGUCUGAGAGGAUGAUCAGCCACACUGGAACUGAGACACGGUCCAGACUCCUACGGGAGGCAGCAGUGGGGAAUAUUGGACAAUGGGCGCAAGCCUGAUCCAGCCAUACCGCGUGGGUGAAGAAGGCCUUCGGGUUGUAAAGCCCUUUUGUUGGGAAAGAAAAGCAGCAGGUUAAUACCCCGCUGUUCUGACGGUACCCAAAGAACAAGCACCGGCUAACUUCGUG